ACGAAACCGCGUAUGGCUCAUUACAACAGCUAUUAUUAACUUGAUCUUGACAUUUAUCCUACAUGGAUAACUGUGGUAAUUCUGGAGCUAAUACAUGCAUUUACGCUUCUGUUGCUUAGGCAAUGGGGUGCACUUAUUAGAACAAAACCAUCCGGCCUCACGGCUGGUAUUUUGUUGACUCUGAAUAAUUCCGCUGAUCGUAUGAUCUCGUAUCGACGAUUUGUCAUUCAAGUGUCUGCCCUAUCAUACUCUGAUGGUAGUAUAUUGUGCUAUCAUGGUUGUGACGGGUAACGGAGAAUUAGGGUUCGUCUCCGGAGAAAAUGCCUGAGAAACGGCUUUUACAUCCAAGGAAGGCAGCAGGCGCGAAAAUUACCCACUCUCAGUUCGAGGAGGUAGUGACGUGAAAUGACAAGAUUUAUUCCUUCGGGAGUGAAUCAUUGGAAUGGUUUGAACUUAAAUCAUUCAAAGAUUAUCUAUGAGAGGGCAAGUCUGGUGCCAGCAGCCGCGGUAAUUCCAGCUCUCAUACUGCAUUGAAUUGUUGUUGCGGUUAAAAAGCUCGUAGUUGGAUCUGAAUCUCAUUGUAAUUCGGUACAUUCCUCGUGAAUGUUACUGUUUGCAUGGAUGUUUACGAAUAGCUUGUUCAUGUUGUGUAUUUGUUUAUGCAGCGUGAACGGGGUUAUUCGAGUUUACUUUGAAUAAAUCAGAGUGCUCAGAACAGGCUUUAUGCUUGUAUGGUUUUGCAUGGAAUAAUAGAACAUGACUUUGGUAUUAUGUUUUAUUGGUUUUAAGUACCUAAGUAAUGAUUAAAAGGAACAAACGGGGGCAUUUGUAUCGUUGCGCGAGAGGUGAAAUUCAUGGACCGUAGCGAGACAAACUACCGCGAAAGCAUUUGCCAAGAAUGUUUUCAUUAAUCAAGAACGAAAGUCAGAGGAUCGAAGGCGAUCAGAUACCGCCCUAGUUCUGACCGUAAACUAUGCCAUCUAGCGAGUUUCGGGUGGAUUCUUACAUUCGCCCUUGGAACGAGCUUUCCGGAAACGAAAGUCUUUCGGUUCCGGGGGAAGUAUGGUUGCAAAGCUGAAACUUAAAGGGAUUGACGGAAGGUCACCACCAGAAAUGGAGCCUGCGGCUUAAUUUGACUCAACACGGGAAAACUCACCCGGUCUAGACACUAUAAGGAUUGACAGAUCGAUAGCUUUUUCAUGAUUUGGUGGUUGGUGGUGCAUGGCCGUUCUUAGUUCGUGGAGUGAUUUGUCUGGUUAAUUCCGAUAACGAACGAGAUUGGUACUUGAUUAAAUAGAUACUAUCUAUAUUAUACGAGUGUGCUUCGUGCAUGCUGGAUAGUGAUCUUCUUAAUGGGAUUGUCAGUGUUCGCCCAACUGUCUUAAUUCCAGCAAUAACAGGUCUGUGAUGCCCUAAGAUGUCUGGGGCUGCACGCGCGCUACAAUGGAAAUUGCAGCGCGUAUGUCCAUUCUCGAAAGAGAUUGGUAAACGAGUCAAAUUAUUCCGUAUUUGGGCUCGGAGAUUGCAAUUAUUCUCCGUUAACAAGGAACUUCAAGUAAGUGUGAGUCAUCAGUUCACGCUGAUUACGUCCCUGUCCUUUGUACACACCGCCCGUCGCUGCCCGGAACUGAGUUGAUUCGAGAAGAUUGGGGAUUGGCAUUUAAUGGAGGUUUCGGCCUUUGUUAUAUUGUUGAAAACCAAUUUGAUCGCAUUGGCUUGAACCGGGCAAAAGUCGU
rnacentral:rRNA from 1 species